UGACUCGAUGCCCCGGUGUCACCGUUGCAUCCACAUAUUCAUCAUCUCUGGAUGCCAAGCAUACAUUCUGUCAGCCAGACAGACAUGCAUUUCAAAAUUCCACAGCUUGGUAUGCUUUUAUGGUCACAUCCUUCGCCAUGACCCGUCGUGAUUUUACUGAACGGCGUGCCCUGACGAUGAACCCGUUUGUCGAUGCAGCGGCCGCGGUUUGAUUGCGGCGGUGACAGAUGCUUAGGGGUGGUGACGCUAAUCAGCCGUCCACAGCCAUCUGCUUCGCCUUCCUCCUGGUGCCGUUCAUUCCGGUAGAGAAACUUGCAGGGUAUGUAUGCGCUUGGUCUCAAGAGAAAAAUGCUAGUGAUG
rnacentral:lncRNA from 1 species